GGCGAACGGGUGAGUAACGCGUAGACAACCUACCUUCUAGAUGGGGACAACACUGCGAAAGUGGUGCUAAUACCGAAUGUUGUAUGUAAAACGCCUGUUUCAUAUACUAAAGGUGGCCUCUAUUUAUAAGCUACCACUAGAAGAUGGGUCUGCGUCUGAUUAGCUAGUUGGUGAGGUAAUGGCUCACCAAGGCGACGAUCAGUAGCCGGUCUGAGAGGAUGAACGGCCACACUGGGACUGAGACACGGCCAGACUCCUACGGGAGGCAGCAGUGGGGAAUCUUCCGCAAUGGACGAAAGUCUGACGGAGCAACGCCGGUGAGUGAAGAAGGUUUUCGGAUCGUAAAACUCUGUUUUCAGGGACGAAUGUGCGAUAUGUGAAUAAUGUGUUGUAAUGACGGUACCUGACAAGAAAGCCCCGGUAACUACGUGCCAGCCGACGCGG
rnacentral:rRNA from 1 species